rfam:Triticum aestivum genome assembly, contig: Triticum_aestivum_CS42_TGACv1_scaffold_572454_7AS
UGUGUACUCCCUCCGUUCCAAAAUACUUGACUUCCAUUUGUCCAAAAAUGGAUGUACCUAUAUACUAAGACAUUUCUAGAUACAUAUAUAUUUUGACAAAUAGAAGGCAUGUAUUGUGCAACGGAGGGAGUAGAAU